UACAGAGGGGGCAAGCGUUGUUCGGAAUUACUGGGCGUAAAGGGCGCGUAGGCGGCCUGUUAAGUCGAACGUGAAAUCCCCGGGCUCAACCCGGGAACUGCGUCCGAUACUGGCAGGCUUGAAUCCGGGAGAGGGAUGCGGAAUUCCAGGUGUAGCGGUGAAAUGCGCAGAUAUCAGGAGGAACACCGAUGGCGAAGGCAGCUCGCUGGGACGGUACUGACGCUGAGACGCGAAAGCGUGGGGAGCGAACAGG
rnacentral:rRNA from 1 species